UAAAAAACAUAAGCUGUACAGCAGGCCUCAAUUUUCACAUAUUUCAAGAGAGUCAGUGUGCACAAAAGAUGUAACGUUAACUCUUCUCCAAUCCACCAUCAACAAAAUAAGUUGGUUGUUUUCAUGUAGGAUUAGCGCGAUAAACUGUAGCAGCAGUACAGCACAGGCAGAAUGUGCUACCUCUCAUAUCGGAGCAGCACAAUAAGCUGUGACGGGACUAGCGGAAUGUGCUCCGAUCACUAACAAGUCAUCAUAGCGACCUGUCAGCUACCCAUUGCAAAGAUGGAUAUGUUGAGAAAGAUGACUAGACAAUACCACUAUACCAGUGAUCCGAUUAUCCGAACCAAACCCAUGCCUCUGCUAGUAAAGUUAUGCGGAGGAAAUGGUUUCUGUAAAACUUUACUCUCUUUCAGUUCAGCCUGAACUGAAAGAGAGCUGAUUGUCCACCGUAUGUCUUUAUGGAACUGCUAGUGCAAAGAAGCACUUGGUGCACUGCAAGGACAGGCAAAAAUGGGUACAUGAAUUUCACCUUGGUGAUAUUAGAAAACAGAGGCAGUGUGCUCCUGUUCGUUGCCGCAUUCGCCCGGCAGUGGUUUCAGCAGAGCAGAGCAGAGCAGGAAUCCCUUUCCUCUCCUACCCUUCCUGGUUCUGGCUUCUCAAAGGUAGAAAAUGGACUGUCGAUUGGUCUUGCAAAUUGUCAGAGGUGAGGGUUUCCUGAAUUUACCUGAUAGAAUAGCACCCUAUGCGGUCGCACACUGAUGAUCUUCACUCAUGGAUUUUCAGUUUCAGAUACUGCUUCACAAGACCAUAUGCCACACCACCUGAGCUUGAAUUAUAUAUACUGCACGUGUUAAACCUGUAAGAAGUAACUGCAAGAAAACCCAACCCGGCAUAAUUGGCUAUGGAAGACGGGUGCAUGACACAGCUAUAUGGACAUAUCAAUUGCACUAUGAACUAGUGUUUAGGCCAUGGAUGUGGAAGCUCCAAUAUAGACAGGUAGCGCCUCAUUGGCUUCUAGAUGUGGAUGCUCCAAGGGAAGGACUAGCUCUCAAAACAAAAUCCCUUCAUUUUUGGUACCUGUAAGGACAAUAUUGGACCAUUUACACUAGUCAUCAGACAAACUCAGAAUAUACUUUUCUGACCAUUCAAAAAAAAAAAAACUUUACUACUCCUAUAUAGUACUGCACAACCAAUGAGUGAUGGCAAAAGGAAAUUUUGUUCCUGUUAAUUCUUUGUUCUGCUGUGUGAUACUUAAAAGUUAAAACUGGUCGUGCAAUCUCAAUCAGCAGUCCCUUUCAUAGAGGCAAAACAUGUGUUGUAGACUUGCAGUGAUAUAUGGACUCACAGCACUGAAGUCUUUGGUGUCGCUCUCAUGCUACUACUUGUAUAUCUCCACCACACAGGCCAUUUGGUGCUCACCUUGACCUCUGAUUUCAUUCAGAACCACAGAACUGCUAUCACAUCCAAACAGAAAAAAGAGGAUUUUAUCAUGGCGGAGCUCAUCUUCUCGGCGGUUGUCGGGGACAUGGUCGGCAGGGUGAUAUCUCUUCUUGCUGGCCGGUUCAAAGGCCAAGGGUGCACCGAAGCCAAGCUACGGAGGAUUUGCCAUAUGCUUGUCAAGGUUCACAGUGCAGUAGAAGAGGCCAAAGGGAAGCAGAUCACAAACUGCGGCACCCUCGAGUGGCUUUCAGAGCUCAACGACGGGGUGUACCAGGGCCGCUACUUGCUCGACACGGUCAGAUGCAGACAGCAGGAGCUUGAAGAUGAGCAUGAUGACAAGGUAGUUGGACAGCCUUUCUCUUUAUCCUUGCUUAAUCCUGCAAAGCGCGUCCGCGUAGCAGCGUGUGCCGUGAAGAGCCUAUUGUCUCGCCAUGAUGUUGGUGUUGGUGAGGACAUAGAUAGAGUGGUAGAGAUCUUGGAAACCGUAUCUAGUGAUCUCAAGGAGUUCAUGAUGCUCCUACACAACUGCCAGCCCAUCCAUCGUCCUUUGGCUACUAAUAUCUUUGUCGAGGGGCAGAUGUUCGGCCGACAUGUCGAGAAAGAGAGGAUCAUCAACUUCCUGCUUAACGAUGGUGGUCCGUCAACUGGAGAAAGAGUGGGUGUGCUUCCCAUCGUCGGCGACAUAGGAGUCGGGAAGACCACCCUUGCGCAGCAUGUCUGCGAUGAUGAGAGGGUGCGCAGCCACUUUCCAAUAAUCUUAUAUUCCAAUCUCUCAUACACCAGGGCAAUGGCAAGGGGUGAGGCAGCAUUUGUUGUAGGAUCCAAACACACAGUUAGAGACGCUAAAGAAUUCAUCGAGUCACUGCAUGUACUCAAGGAGAAAUACCUCACCAAGAGGUUCUUGAUGGUAUUUGAAGAUGUUAACGCGGACAAGAAGCAGAUGCUAGAAGAGUUACUACAGAUCAUAAGACAUGGCAAACAUGGAAGCAGGAUCAUAAUCACCGCCAACAGCAGGGCCAUUGCGGCGAGCAUGGGAACGGUGCAGCCGAUCAGUCUGAAGGUUAUGCCGCACCAGGAGUACUGGUUCUUCUUCAAAGCCCACGCGUUUGCCGGCAGAGACGUCGAGGAGGACCCAAGGAUGCUAGCAGAGGGCAAAGCGAUUGCAAGGAAGCUAAAUGGAUCCUUCUUCGGUGCGAAAAUUAUCGGUGGGGUGCUGAAGGCUCAUCCGAAUCCUUGGUUCUGGCGCAAGGUGCUGAGAAGCAAUAUAGGGGGGUUAUCUCUGUUGGGCGACGGAAUUGAGUACAUUGCAGAUUUGACAGAGAAUUUGCUACCGAUCGGCGCAGACAUGUGUAAGGUGACCAUUUGCAAGAGUCCAUAUCCCUCUCAGACAGAACUAGCCAGGUUGGUAUAUCAGGCAAGUCCUAGCGCUAGUGUUGUUGCCCCGGGUGGUGAUAACGGGUUUGCAAGAGUCUUGUUGUGCAGCUUGCUUGUGUUUCUUCCCUGGUACAUAUACAUGGAGCUAGCUUGGAUAACUGUAACCUGGCCCUUGAUGUGUGGAAGGAAAAGUACAGCACACAGACGGAUUCACUGAUGGUUUUUCAAUUUCAGAUACUUCAGAAGACAACAUGCCACACCACCUGAGCCUGAAUUGUACUCUACGUGUUAAACAUAAAGGCUGGGGUACCAGGUAACUUGCGAACAUCACAAAGUUGCUAGAGGAAUUUAUCAUGGCGGAGGUCAUCUUCUCGGCGGUUGUCGGAGACAUGGUCGGCAGGAUGAUAUCUCUUCUUGCCGGCCAGUUCAAGGGCCAACAGUGCACCGAAGCCAAACUACGCAAGAUUUGCCAUAUGCUCGUCAAAGUUUAUAGUGCAGUAGAGGAGGCCAAAGGGAGGCAGAUCACAAACUGUGGCACCCUCGAGUGGCUUUCAGAGCUCAACGCCGGUGUGUACCAGGGCCGCUACUUGCUCGACACGGUCAGAUGCAGAGAACAGGAGCUUGAAGAUGAGCAUGCUGACGAGGUAGUUGCACAACCUUUCUCUUUCUCCUUGUUUAACCCUGCAAAGCGUGUGCGUGUAGUGGCCUACGCCGUGAAGAGCCUACUGUUUCACCAUGAUAUUGGUGGUCCUGAGGAGAUAGAGAGAGUGGUGGAGAUCUUGGAAACAAUAUCCUGUGAUCUCAAGGAGUUCAUGAUGCUCAUACAGAACUGUCAGCUGAUCCAUCGUCCUUUGACUACUAAUAUCUUCAUUGAGGGGCAGAUGUUCGGCCGACAUGUCGAAAAGGAGAGGAUCAUCAACUUCCUACUUCACGAUGGUGGUCCAUCAACUGGAAGAAAAGUGGGUGUGCUUCCCAUUGUCGGUGACAUGGGAACCGGGAAGACCACCCUUGCGCAGCAUGUCUGCGAUGAUGAGAGGGUGCGCAACCACUUUCCAAUAAUUUUGUAUUCCAAUUUCUCAUAUACCAGAGAAAUGGCACAUGGGCAGGCAGCGUUCGUUGUAGGAUCCAAACAUGCAGUUAGAGAUGCUAAAAAAUUCAUCGACUCACUGCAUAUACUCAAGGAGAAAUACCUCACCGAGAGGUUCUUGAUGAUAUUUGAAGAUGUCGAUGAGGGCAAGAAACAAAUGCUAGAAGAGUUACUGCCGAUCUUAAGACAUGGCAAACAUGGAAGCAGGAUCAUAAUCACCACAAACAGCAAGGCCGUCGCGGCGAGCAUGGGAACGGUGCAGCCGAUCAGUCUGAAGGUUAUGCCGCACCAGGAGUACUGGUUCUUCUUCAAGGCGCACGCGUUUGCUGGCAGAGAUGUCGAGGAGGACCCAAGGAUGCUAGCAGCAGGCAAGGCAAUUGCGAGGAAGCUAAAUGGGUCCUUCUUCGGAGCGAAAAUCAUUGGCGGGGUGCUGAAAGCUCAUCCUAAUCCCCGGUUCUGGAGCAAGGUGCUGAGGAGCAAUAUAGGGGGGUUAUCUGUGUUGGGCGAUGGAAUUGGGUACAUUGGAGAUUUGGCAGGCAAUUUGGUACCAAUCUACGCAGACGUGUGUAAGGUGACCAUUUGUAAGAAUCCAUUUAUCUUUCAGACAGAACUGGCUAGGUUGGAGGAUCUGUAUCAGGCAAGUCCGCUUGGCGAUAACCGGUUUGCAAAAGCUCUGUUGUGCAGGUCAAUGUUGCCAUUCCAACUCCUGAACUACGCUGAUGAUUGCAAUGUGCGCCGAUCUGACUAUCCAGCAGAGUUCAUCAAAGUUUAAGGAAGUAGACUUUGCCCAUAUACUUCCGUCAAGAAAAGGUUUACCGAUAUAGGGAUGUGAAUAUCAGACAGGAACUAAAACCUGUUUACAUGGAAUCUGAUGCAAUCGUCCCCAUGGGAUUGACUGCUCCAUGUAGAGCUGAAUGCUCUGUUUUGAGUUGUAUUAUUGUUGUUUUUCUUGCCUUGCUCCAAUAACUGUAACGUGGCCCUUAAUGUACAGAAUGACAAGUAGUGAGUCUGUUAUGUAGUGCC